AAGGUGCUUCUCAGCCGCUGCAGGCGCUAGUUUAUGGUCGUUCUUACACCCGUGACAGGUGACACGUCCGGAUACAUUGUAAUGCCGGAAUGCAGUCGCCCUAAGUGUCUCGUCAUCACAGGAGGGACUUGUGAAAUGCCUGCUCUGUGUCCGGCUCUGCUGUUGUUGCCUCAGUAGCGUCCUCUGGGAGGAGAUCUUGACGUGCCUUCUAUUCCAAAGCUCUGCAGCAAUUGCUUCUCAAAUGAGGCUACUACCCUCUUCUUUUUCUGGAGAAACCUCUAGAGGACCGGGAUGCAGCCUACGGCCGAGGCCCUGUCACAGCAGCUACUGUGCGCAUGGAGCCUGCACUUACCCAGUUUGUCCAUGUAAGAAGAAACCCCAGACUGUCCGUGAAAAGAGAGAAGACUCGUGAUGGAAAACUUUCGAGUGCUGAAGGUUCCCUAGGCAACUCUCUCCAGCAGCGUGGACAGUGGGAGCUGCUAUGGAAUAAAUGGACAAACGACCAAAGGAACUGCUUUGAAAGACAGUACUCAGUUGGGCAUAUGUUCUAUCUUAUUUGGGUAAAAGAACUUCAUAGUCAUCCUUUAAAUAUGGCUUGGGGCUGGCUGAUUAGCUCAGUUAGAACUUGGUGCUAGGGCCGGCCCGUGGCGCACUCGGGAGAGUGUGGGG